rnacentral:rRNA from 1 species
UAUGGAGGGUGCAAGCGUUGCUCGGAAUUAUUGGGCGUAAAGGGUAGGUAGGUGGUCUCAUUUGUCUGGGGUGAAAGCCUUGAGCUUAACUCAAGAAGUGCCCUAGAAACGGUGAGACUGGAGUCUUGGAGAGGGUCGUGGAAUUCCCGGUGUAGCGGUGAAAUGCGUAGAGAUCGGGAGGAACACCAGAGGCGAAGGCGGCGACCUGGACAAGUACUGACACUCAACUACGAAAGCGUGGGGAGCAAACGGG